AACGAACGCUGGCGGCAGGCUUAACACAUGCAAGUCGAACGCACUCUUCGGAGUGAGUGGCAGACGGGUGAGUAACGCGUGGGAAUGUGCCUAUCGGUACGGAAUAGCUCCGGGAAACUGGAAUUAAUGCCGUAUACGCCCUUUGGGGGAAAGAUUUAUUGCCGAUAGAUCAGCCCGCGUUAGAUUAGCUAGUUGGUAGGGUAAAGGCCUACCAAGGCUACGAUCUAUAGCUGGUCUGAGAGGAUGAUCAGCCACACUGGGACUGAGACACGGCCCAG
rnacentral:rRNA from 1 species